UCCUCCGCUUAUUGAUAUGCUUAAGUUCAGCGGGUCCUCCUACCUGAUCCGAGGUCAACCUGGAAAGAAUGGUUGGAAAACGUCGGCAGGCGCCGGCCAAUCCUACAGAGCAUGUGACAAAGCCCCAUACGCUCGAGGAUCGGACGCGGUGCCGCCGCUGCCUUUCGGGCCCGUCCCCCCGGAGAGGGGGACGGCGACCCAACACACAAGCCGGGCUUGAGGGCAGCAAUGACGCUCGGACAGGCAUGCCCCCCGGAAUACCAGGGGGCGCAAUGUGCGUUCAAAGACUCGAUGAUUCACUGAAUUCUGCAAUUCACAUUAGUUAUCGCAUUUCGCUGCGUUCUUCAUCGAUGCCGGAACCAAGAGAUCCAUUGUUGAAAGUUUUAACUGAUUGCAUUCAAUCAACUCAGACUGCACGCUUUCAGACAGUGUUCGUGUUGGGGUCUCCGGCGGGCACGGGCCCGGGGGGCAGAGGCGCCCCCCCGGCGGCCGACAAGCGGCGGGCCCGCCGAAGCAACAGGGUACAAUAGACACGGAUGGGAGGUUGGGCCCAAAGGACCCGCACUCGGUAAUGAUCCUUCCGCAAGGUUCACCUACGGA
rnacentral:misc_RNA from 1 species